rnacentral:lncRNA from 1 species
GGACAUGGGAUCUACAUGGGAUUUACAUGGGAUGGACACGGGAUCUACAUGGGAAGGCCACAGGAAGGACAUGGGAUGGACAUGGAAAGGACAUGGGAUCUACACGCAACAUGGGAUGGACACGGGAUCUACAUGGGACAUGGGAAGGACAUGGGAUGGACACGGGAGGGACACGGGAAGGACAUGGGAUCUACAUGGGAUUUACAUGGGAUCUACGAUGGACACAGGAGGGACACAGGAGGGACAUGGGAGGCACAUGGGAUCUACAUGGGACACGGGAUGGACAUAGGACAUGGGAUGGACACGGGAUGGACACGGGAUGGACAUGGGAGGGACAUGGGAGGGACAUGGGAUGGACAUGGGAUCUACAUGGGACAUGGGAUGGACACGGGAUCUACAUGGGACAUGGGAUGGACACGGGAGGGACACGGGAUCUACAUGGGAGGGACACAGGACAAAGGCAGCACCAAGGGAGGGGGGGGAAGGGGGCGACACGUGAAGGACACGGGACGGACACGCGAGUGACGUGAGACGGACGCGGAAAGAAAGACCAGGCAGCCGACACGGGAUGAACAUGGGAUCGACAUGUAUUGACACGGGACGGAGACGGGACCGAGAGGGACCCCCCCUCCCCCCCGGGAGCAUCCACACGCCAAUUACAUGCGAAUUACAGGCGAUCGACACGGGAUCAACAUGCGGUUAACACGGGAUGAACACGGGAUGCAGGCCCAAUCAGCAGGGAAUCGACACGUGAACUACACGGGAUGGACACGGGAUGAACAUGGGAUCAACCCGGGAUGGGGACGGGGUCAAGGCACAAUCAACAUGUUAAUUACAUGUGAUCAACAUGGGAUUAACACAGUGAGGAGGCCCAAUCAGCAGGAAAUCGACAUGUGAAUUACACGGAAUGAACAUGGGAUCGACACAGGAUCGACACGGGACGGGGACGGGGUCAAGGCACAAUCAACAUGCUAAUUACAUGUGAUCAACAUGUGAUCGACAUGGGAUUAACACAGGAAGGAGGCCCAAUCAGCAGGGAAUCGACAUGUGAAUUACACGGGAUCGACACGUGAAUUACAUGGGAUGGACACGGAACCAACAUGGGAUAGAGACAGGGUCAAGGCCCGAUCGACACGGGAAUUACACGUGACUGACAUGAGAUUAACACCGGGGGGAGGCCCAAUCAGCAGGGAAUCGACACGGGAUGAACACGGGAUCGACAUAUGAAUUACACGCGAAGGACACGGGACGGGGACGGGGUCAAAGGCACAAUCAACACGCGGGGACACGGAAGGACAUGGGAGGGACAUGGGAUCUACACGCGGGGACGGGGUCAAAGGCACAAUCAACACGCGAAUCGCACGCGAUCGACACGGGAUUAACACGGGAUUAACACGAGAAGGAAGCCCGAUCGGCGGGUGAGCCGCCCCGCCAACAACACGCCAACGACACGCCAACGACACGCCAACUACACGCCACGAACACGGACCCCAGGGGGGACGAAGGGCCCCGCCGACACCUCCAA